rnacentral:rRNA from 1 species
GACGAACGCUGGCGGCGUGCCUAAUACAUGCAAGUAGGACGCAGUUGCGAACGGGUGAGUAACGCGUAGGAACCUACCUAUUCGAGGGGGAUAACUAUUGGAAACGAUAGCUAAUACCGCAUACUAUCAGAUGAGCCUAGGUCGGAUUAGCUAGUUGGAGGGGUAAAGGCCUACCAAGGCGACGAUCCGUAACUGGUCUGAGAGGAUGAUCAGUCACACUGGAACUGAGACACGGUCCAGACUCCUACGGGAGGCAGCAGUAGGGAAUCUUCGGCAAUGGGGGGAACCCUGACCGGGCAACGCCGCGUGAGUGAAGAAGGUUUUCGGGUUGUAAACCUCUUUCGCUAUCGAACGGGUAGGUGGAGAAGAAGCGCCGGCUAACUACGUGCCAGCAGCCGCGGUAAUAC